rnacentral:rRNA from 1 species
GACGAACGCUGGCGGCGUGCUUAACACAUGCAAGUCGAACGGAAAGGCCCUGCUUUUGUGGGGUGCUCGAGUGGCGAACGGGUGAGUAACACGUGAGUAACCUGCCCUUGACUUUGGGAUAACUUCAGGAAACUGGGGCUAAUACCGGAUAGGAGCUCCUGCUGCAUGGUGGGGGUUGGAAAGUUUCGGCGGUUGGGGAUGGACUCGCGGCUUAUCAGCUUGUUGGUGGGGUAGUGGCUUACCAAGGCUUUGACGGGUAGCCGGCCUGAGAGGGUGACCGGCCACAUUGGGACUGAGAUACGGCACAGACUCCUACGGGAGGCAGCAGUGGGGAAUAUUGCACGAUGGGCGGAAGCCUGAUGAAGCAACGCCGCGUGCGGGAUGACGGCCUUCGGGUUGUAAACCGCUUUCGCCUGUGACGAAGCGUGAGUGACGGUAAUGGGUAAAGAAGCACCGGCUAACUACGUG